AAAGCGGUUGCUAGGGUGGUCACAUAGUCAUGCCACUAAGCUAGAGCUUCAGGCCGUAGGAAAACACUGAGCUGGGACUGCUUGGAAAAAAUAAGAGAAGACCCCCUAGAGCCAGAUUGAGGUCGUGAAAAAACAGCCAGCGCUUCCAGUGUCAUUUUGUUGCUGUUAAUUAGAACACCAAGUCAGCGCCUGCUAAAUGCACCAGGGCUUGGGUUUCAGCUGGGCCCGGGACUCCAUUUGAUUCUUAGGAUUCAUUAAUAUCGCUCGGCCCUGAGCUCUUUGUGAACAGAGACCUUACCGAUUCAUUCAUCUUUGGGUUGUUCCCUCGGAACACAGCAGGAGGCUGGAAAGGGGUAGGCAUUGACACAGAAUAAAGGAAGGUGCUUUGUUCCUGCACUGCCACCCAUGUCGUGAGCCCGCCUGACAUGCUGGAAGAUUCUAUAGUUUCAGAACCGGAGCAAAGAUCUCUUCCACUAUUCCAAAACCUUCCAUAAAGUUGUUCAUCAUUGUAGCAAGCCACAGCUGAGAAAACAGGAAUGGAAUGUGGCUGCUGGUGCCUGGACCAUGGGAAAAUUGAUACUGGGAAAUCACCAACAGGAGGUACCUCUUGUUAAAACGCCUUCCUGGAAUGUGCUUCCCAAGUAUGCUUGCCUGGUAAUUUAAAGUCGCCUUCCGCUCCAUG